rnacentral:misc_RNA from 1 species
GUUGGUGAACCAGCGGAGGGAUCAUUACUGAGUUAUCUAAACUCCCAACCCUUUGUGAACCUUACCGUCGUUGCCUCGGCGGGCUGUGCUUGCCCCGUAGCUACCCCGUAGCUACCCGGUAGGUGCGCUCCAAGCCCGCCGGUGGACUACUAAAUUCUAUUUUACUACUGUAUCUCUGAAUGCUUCAACUUAAUAAGUUAAAACUUUCAACAACGGAUCUCUUGGUUCUG